CACACCAUCACCUCCCCAUCUUCUUCCAGUGCCCUAUCUCCUCUCUCAUUAGGCAUAAUUGUACUCAACAGUAAAGACUAAUGAAGCAGAAACUUUUCGUGAACUCUGAAUGCCUUGGUAUUUUCUCAGUAUAGCCAGUUCCUAUAACAAUUAUACAACAAUAGUGAAAAAUAUGAGAAUGUCUACAGAAGACACUUGUGUGAAGAUAGAGAAGUGAUGAGCAGCAGGGAAAGACUCUGAAAUUUGGUGUCCAGACAUGGAAUAAAGCAAUGUCAGGAAGAGUCAAAGGUGGGUCCCUGGCACUCAGGAAGGAUCUAAAGUGAGAAUUGAAGUCUAUGGGGAGAUCAGAGAGAGAUUUCAAUGAAGAAGAAGGAGGUGGCAUGCA
rnacentral:lncRNA from 1 species